CCUACGGGUGGCAGCAGUGAGGAAUAUUGGUCAAUGGGCGGAAGCCUGAACCAGCCAAGUCGCGUGAGGGAUUAAGGCCCUGCGGGUCGUAAACCUCUUUUGCCGGGGAGCAGUGGUCCGGACGUGUCCGGGCCGGGAGAGUACCCGGAGAAAAAGCAUCGGCUAACUCCGUGCCAGCAGCCGCGGUAAUAAGGAGGAUGCGAGCGUUAUCCGGAGUUAUUGGGUUAAAGGGGUGCGUAGGCGGGCAUUUAGGCCGGGGGUCAAAUGUCGGGGCUCAACCCCGGCCUGCCGUCGGAACUGGGUGCCUUGAGUGGGCGAGAGGUAUGCGGAAUGCGUGGUGUAGCGGUGAAAUGCAUAGAUAUCACGCAGAACCCCGAUUGCGAAGGCAGCAUACCGGCGCUCUACUGACGCUGAGGCACGAAAGUGCGGGUAUCGAACAGGAUUAGAUACCCCAGUAGUC
rnacentral:rRNA from 1 species